CCGGGAAAAUGCCUAGUGGACAUGGAAUCUGCCCGGUAAGCGGAACACUGUGGGUUCGAUUCCCAUCCCUGGA